ensembl:lncRNA
GGAGUGGUCAAGUUCAUCUCACUACAGUGUACACAAGCAACUCCACAAGCAAAUUACUGAGUUAUUGUAGAGCAUUCUUCGUACGUAGCCUAGGUGUGAUCCUAAAGUCAAUAUGACCACCAGUCGACCUCUUUGAAGAUAGUAAUGUGGGCUGGACUACUCCCACUCCAAAGAUGACGACAACAGAAGCCCCCGCUCUCGCCUAGACUACGAAGGCUGAAAAGAAAAGACCACGAGUGAAGGACGAAGCAUCGAGAGGUCAGUGGCAGACCGAGAGGUCGUCGUGCAGCAUCUCUAGGGCCUGCUGGGCUGGGACUACAGAGAUGAGGAUUCAGAAGUUGAGGAGGAGCUGCAGCACAAGCUCUCUGUCAUGGGAUCGCACUCCAUGGGGGAGAAGUGUGGAUCCAGGCAUGGGACUGAUGCUGAGGGAGAUCCAGAACGGGACGAAAAGCCCAAACUGAAGCGUAAACUGGUCCAGUUGGAGGCCACAUCCCCUCACCUGGAGACCGGUUGCUUUCCUCCGCAGUCAAAACGCGCGACUACCAGAAGGUACCACGUCAAACAGUGCAACAAGCUGUGGAGCGUUGAACCCUCCUCUUUGUCCGCCCCAAGGAGACGCCCGGUGGUGGUGCUGAAGAUACUCUCUGAGCAAGAAAUACGCACUGCCCUUUGUCCCGUUGUGACGAUGUCGACAACGACGAUGAUCAUGUACAUGUUGUCGGUGACGUCUACCUGGAUAACGAUGGCGAUGAUGUCAUCGACAGACAGGGGCUUGGCAACUGGCUGGGGUUCUUCGACCGAGGAUUCCUGGAAAGGGAAGGCCAGCGCCUGUGCUAGGGACACUGGAUCCCUUUUGAGGAUAAGUGCAAAAGACAACAAGGCAAAGAUUAAAUCAAAAUCUGUCACAGUGGAAAGGCAAAAUGGAGAACAAUCAGAUGCUCCUCACAAUGGCAAGGCCACUGUACACCAUGGUAAAAAUAUUCAAAAGCCACUCACGCACAUGUACUGUCAACAAAGAAAAGAAGCAGUCCACGACUGCCACGAUGCUCCGACAUCAGCCGAGCCUCAGAGCUGUGAAAUCGCUGUCUCCUCCGUCUCCAAGCCCUGCACUCCCAUCGCCUCCCCAAUGUCCCUAGCCCAUGAUUUUGAUGAAGUGAUUUUCUUUUUUUCCAUCUUAGUGUGGACCGUGUGGGGUGGAGGGCUUCAAGAACAAGGUGAGCCUUGAGAACAGGGGGCGCGUCCUGGUGUCUGGACACCACCUUGCCUGUGAGGACACUGCUCCGCUGUGCAGUCUCCAUGUGCGGGUCCGGGUGGUGACUAGCUAGCGGAAAGACAACAAACCUUUCUUCUACUCUGGCAUCCUGGGAGAGCUUCCCUCCAGAAGGAACCGCAUGAGGUUCCUGGUCUUUUUCGACAAUCACACUCCUAACUAUGUUCGACUACCUUCUCUGCACCUGGUGUGCAGGCCAUGUAAGACCGACAAGCACAUUAUAUAUAUACUUUAACUUCUAACCCUUAAAGUGAUAAUGAAAUGACAAAAAUGUCUUGCUAACAUUAUGGUGGAUAAAUAAACGUUGUCAUAUACAUUCAAAUUCAAAACAACAUACUCUCCCAUCAGUUUCGGAAAGAAACCUCCUCCUUUUGAAUUUUCCAAAACGUUUUGACCUUCUUCGUGAGGGCAUUUUUCCCCAAACAUUUCUUUUUGAAAGACGAGCACUGUUUAUUUUGACCCAUGCUACACCACAUCCUUCUCUCCACUUCUGUGUUGUGUCUCAGUGGUGGAACCCUGGGGCGGACAUCCCAGGAGACGCCCACCGGAGAUUCAUCAGGGAGUACCUGAAGGUGUGGCCGCACCCUCCUAUGGCCAACUACUGAGUGGAUGAGCAGCUCAACGUGGAGUGCAGAGAGCCUGCGAGGUGCUCCGUGCAGACUGCAGCCUGAUGCAUGUCCUCUUCAAGCGGACUCAAGGAGGGGAUUUAUCGAGGUUCCAUGCGUCUGGAGCACUCGGUCAACACGAAUAAGGUUCUGAAGAACACGGACAGGGCGGGAGAGACGAAGGCGGCUGAACCCAGCAGCGUAUCCCACGAAAAUCCGCAGGAAGCAUGUCCCGGGUCUCGCUCCACUCCGACCACUCCACCCACUCCACCGGCCGCCAUGGGUGAACUACACUCCGCACCUCUGCAGCCCCGCCUGCCUGGAACUAGUCUGGCGCGACAGGCCUCUGGAAGCGUUGCGUAAGCGCAACCCGCUGCUCGCCCCCAUGAUGUACAAGUUCAGACGGACCAAGAGGCAGCUCACCCCUGACACCAUGGCCUCGGUAUUGAGUCUGGACGGCUCGUUAACAGGGUGUCCCCGUGGAGACGAAGCCCACCUACAGCGUAUACUGCUACGCCCCCUGCGGCCUGCCCCUGACCGCCAUCGCCCAGGUGGAGCAGUACCUGCAUGACACGCGCUGCGACUUCCUGUCCAUUGACGCUUUCAACCUGGACCCGCACCUGUCUGUCACCGGUGCCAAACCCCUCCCCUUCAAGGUGUUCCUUCCCGACCUGUCCGGUGGCAGGGAGAACAAGGCGUUGCCCUGCAUCAACGAGCACAACGGCCAGCUUCCCCCCCAAGAUGAGCUACCGGAGCGGCCGCGACACCAGCCACGUCCGUCUCGACCCCGGCCCCGGCGUUGUGACGGGCUAAGUCGACGGUUGUAGGGACAGAGAGUCCUGCUCCUGUCGCCAGCUGACUAUCCAGAGCACCGGUGGGAGAGCCAUGGAGGAGAACUCCAGCUACGCUCAAAAGAGACUCAACAAUGCAGUUGUUACUGGCGUGUAUGAGUGCAACGCCCAGUGUCUCUGUGACCCCCCGCACAUGCUCGAACCGGGUGGCACAGCAAGGCGUCCAGGUGAGGCUCCAGGUCUUCAUGACCCAGGACCGAGGCUGGGGCGUCUGCUGCCUGGAUGACAUAUCCGGGGAGACCUUUGUGUGUUCCUACAGCGGUAAGAGGGACCAUGUCUCAUAGCUAGGAUAGGCGAUUUGGAGGAACCUGACAGAUUAAGCCAGACUCUGAAGAAUAACCACAUGGAAAUCUAUCAUGCCUCCCUUUAGGCCGCCUCCCUCAAAGCUACUCCCCUAAAAUAAGUAAAUAGGGGUUGAAUGCAUGCUAUUAUGCGGUUUAAGGGAACGUCAAUCAAAGAUUAGAGCCCUGCCCCUAUGUGGAAAAAUACAAUGGAAGAGUGCAAGAAGAAAACGGUUCAAACCAUGGUUGUAACUCGUUUUGUCAUGUACAUCCUGAUGGGUGCUUUGAGUUUAUAUUGGACUGGUUGGCCAUAUAUGGCAAAGGUUUUCACUCUAUUUUCGCUGUCCCAUGUGGGAUGAGUGCUGGUCCUUGGUAACGAGAAGAAUAGGAUUUCUAAUGCCUACUUUGUCGAACUAAACCAAAUAGUUGAACUCAAUAAUGAGGAUUAUGAAACUGAAGCCUAUUGCUUGGAAACAGGUACGCUGUUUGGAAGAUCUUAAGUUCGAGACAAUGAGACAAAUUGACAGCAAUGUUGGACGCCUUUGCAUUUGAGACGCAGUUCAGAGCUAUAGAAGUUGUAGGGAAAGGAUUGUGAGGUUUGAUGAUAAUACACACGCCGUUUGGUUUAAAUAUUUGACAACUGCUCUGAACAGUCCAAGAAGCAAUGAAUGGUGGUUUAAGUGGUGACCCUAAAAACAAAUUACAUGAAAUGUCCUUAAUCUAUUGGUUUGGGAACACAUAGAACCGUAGUAAAUAAACAAAAUAAGUACAGGAGUCGCUCAUCAUUAGUGUCCGGCACAUCUACUGAAAUUUGUCUAAAAUAUUCGGAGCAACAUCAUUCAUAUUAGUGCCCUCUUUUUUAUGACGUAUUUUUCAAUGGGUUUUAUUUUAAUUUGACUGAUUUGUAUAUCUUUCUGAUCCCACGAAUGUUGUAGCCUCUAAAACGACUAAAGCCAAGGACCCUUCAAAGAGAAAGAAACCUGCAUCUUCCAUGGUUCCCAUGACUACAUCCAGAUGUUUCUUUGAUGGCGAGGAACACGGCUGCAUCCUUGAUGAUAAUAUGGAGAGAAAUGUUGCCCGCUACCUCAAUGUUAGUUCUACAUUUAUAACACAACAUGCGUUAUACUCUAGUUACAGUACUAUUUUAUGGAAUCAUUUUAAUUUAUUUCAGAUUGAAUCUACUUUCUGUCCUUUCUUUUAUAGGAUAGCUGCAACCCAAACUUGUUUAAACAAUAAGUUUUUAUGGACACACACGACCUCAGGUUUCCCUGGUUAACCUUUUUACUAGCAAGCGGGUCAAAGCUGUCACAGAGUUGACCUGGGACUACAGAUCUGUCCAAAAAGAGGAUGCUGAAACUCUUCUUGGUCAGCCGUGCUCCUGUGGGUCUAAAAACUGUUCUGGCCAACUAUAAUGCUUAGAGACUUGAUUCGAAAUUUAUAUAAAUGUGUUGAUUUGCAAUGGUGUGAAGUUUUUUACAUUUAAAUAAAUAUCCCUCAACAUUCACAA